UACAGAGGUCUCAAGCGUUGUUCGGAUUCAUUGGGCGUAAAGGGUGCGUAGGUGGCGCCGUAAGUCAGGUGUGAAAUUUCGGAGCUUAACUCCGAAACUGCAUUUGAUACUGCGGUGCUUGAGGACUGGAGAGGAGACUGGAAUUUACGGUGUAGCAGUGAAAUGCGUAGAGAUCGUAAGGAAGACCAGUGGCGAAGGCGGGUCUCUGGACAGCUCCUGACACUGGAGGCAGCGAAGGCCAGGGGAGCAAAACGGG
rnacentral:rRNA from 1 species